rnacentral:rRNA from 1 species
CUACAUUAGAUACCCGCGUAGUCCCAGCCGUAAACGAUGCGCGUUAGGUGUAUCGACGACCACGAGUCGUCGAGGUGCCGAAGGGAAACCGUGAAACGUGCCGCCUGGGAAGUACGGUCGCAAGGCUGAAACUUAAAGGAAUUGGCGGGGAGCACCACAACAGGUGGAGCCUGCGGUUUAAUUGGACUCAACGCCGGAAAUCUCACCGGAUAAGACAGCAGAAUGAUUGCCGGGCUGAAGACUCUGCAUGACUAGCUG